AGCUGUGCACAGUGUCAGUAUCAUAGCCAAUGAGGUUUAUCAGAGGCAAGAUUAUUGCUAAUUGAAAAAAAAAUUUACCUGUCCCACCCUCCUCUCACUUUAUCUCAGGGCUACAUAAGUGUGUCUUAGAAUUUGAUUUAUACAUUAUA
ensembl:snRNA U4 U4 spliceosomal RNA